AAUAAAUACCAAAGUAAUGGUUGCUGUAAAUGGGAGAGAACAAGCAAUAACUCAAUGAACAAUAUUUUUUAAAUGAAACAAUAAAGAUGAUUAAUGAAAGAAGAUGGUAUUCCAAAUACCAUCCAAAACACCAGGGUAUAAAGAACUACCAAAAUGAAAUGUUACUGUCUCAGUAACAGCU